rnacentral:lncRNA from 1 species
UUCGUUACGAGCUUGUACACAGGCUUCUAAAGCCACUCGAUUAGCUGCUGCACCAGGUGCAUUUCCCCAAGGAUGUCCUAAAGUUCCUCCACCAAAUUGUAAUACAGAAUCGUCCCCAAAGAUUUCGGUCAGAGCUGGCAUAUGCCAAACAUGAAUACCACCUGAAGCUACCGGUAUAACACCUGGCAUGGAUACCCAGUCCUGAGUGAAAAAGAUACCGCGAGCACGAUCUUUUUCAAUAAAAUCAUCGCGUAAUAAAUCAACAAAACCUAAAGUCAUUUCGCGUUCCCCUUCUAACUUACCUACUACUGUACCAGAGUGGAUAUGAUCUCCCCCAGACAUACGCAAUGCUUUAGCUAAUACACGGAAAUGCAUACCAUGAUUUUUCUGUCUAUCAAUAACUGCAUGCAUUGCACGGUGAAUGUGAAGAAGUAGGCCAUUGGCGCGGCAAUAAUGAGCCAAAGUAGUAUUUGCGGUGAAUCCCCCAGUUAAGUAGUCAUGCAUUACAAUAGGAACCCCUAAUUCUCUUGCAAAUACAGCUCUCUUAAUCAUUUCUUCACAUGUACCCGCAGUCGCAUUCAAGUAAUGCCCCUUGAUUUCACCGGUUUCGGCCUGUGAUUUAUAAAUAGCUUUGGCACAAAAGACAAAACGGUCUCUCCAGCGCAUAAAUGGUUGUGAGUUUACGUUUUCAUCAUCUUUGGUAAAAUCAAGUCCACCAUGUAGACACUCAUAACACGCUCUACCAUAAUUUUUUGCGGAUAAUCCCAAUUUUGGUUUAAUAGUACAUCCCAAUAAAGGACGACCAUACUUGUUCAACUUAUCUCUUUCAACUUGGAUACCAUGAGGCGGGCCUUGGAAUUUUUUUGAAUAAGUAGGGGGAAUUCGUAGAUCCUCCAAACGUAGAGUACAUAGGGCUUUGAAACCAAAUACGUUACCUACAAUGGAAGUAAACAUGUUAGUAACGGAACCCUCUUCAAAUAGGUCUAAUGGAUAAGCUACAUAACAGAUCCAUUGGUUGUCUUCCCCAGCAACAGGCUCGAUGUGAUAGCAUCGUCCUUUGUAACGAUCAAGACUGGUAAGUCCAUCAGUCCAAACAGUUGUCCAUGUACCAGUAGAAGAUUCGGCAGCUACUGCAGCCCCUGCUUCUUCGGGCGGAACCCCAGGCUGAGGACUUACUCGGAAUGCUGCCAAGAUAUCAGUAUCCUUAGUUUCAUACUCUGGGGUGUAGUAAGUCAAUUUAUA